UGGCGGCGUGCCUAAUACAUGCAAGUCGAACGGUCUUUCUAUGGAAGCUUGCUUCCACUGAGAAGAUAGUGGCGAACGGGUGAGUAACACGUGGGUAACCUGCCCAUAAGAGGGGGAUAACAUCCGGAAACGGGUGCUAAUACCGCAUAGUUUUCUUGAUCGCAUGAUCGGGAAAGGAAAGACGGCCUUUGUGCUGUCGCUUAUGGAUGGACCCGCGGCGUAUUAGUUAGUUGGUGAGGUAAUGGCUCACCAAGACGAUGAUACGUAGCCGACCUGAGAGGGUGAUCGGCCACAUUGGGACUGAGACACGGCCCAAACUCCUACGGGAGGCAGCAGUAGGGAAUCUUCCGCAAUGGACGAAAGUCUGACGGAGCAACGCCGCGUGAGUGAAAGAAGGUUUUCGGAUCGUAAAACUCUGUUGUCAGAGAAGAACAAGUUGGAGAGUAACUGCUCCAGCCUUGACGGUAUCUGACCAGAAAGCCACGGCUAACUACGUGCCAGCCGCGGC
rnacentral:rRNA from 1 species